CCUACGGGUGGCAGCAGUGAGGAAUAUUGGUCAAUGGGCGCGAGCCUGAACCAGCCAAGUAGCGUGAAGGAUGACUGCCCUACGGGUUGUAAACUUCUUUUAUCAAGGAAUAAAGUGAGGAACGUGUGCCUUUUUGUGUGUACUUUACGAAUAAGGAUCGGCUAACUCCGUGCCAGCAGCCGCGGUACUCCGGAGGAUACGAGCGUUCUCCGGAUUUAUUGGGGUUAAAGGGAGCGUAGAUGGGUUGUUAAGUCAGUUGUGAAAGUUUGUGGCGCAACCGUAGAAUUGCAAUUGAUACUGGCAGCCUUGAGUACAGUUGAGGUAGGCGGAAUUCGUGGUGUAGCGGUGAAAUGCGUAGAUAUCACGAAGAACUCCGAUUGCGAAGGCAGCCUACUAGACUGCCACUGACAUUGAUGCUCGAAAGUGUGGGUAUCAAACAGGAUUAGAUACCCGAGUAGUC
rnacentral:rRNA from 1 species